UACAGAGGUCCCAAGCGUUGUUCGGAUUCACUGGGCGUAAAGGGUGCGUAGGUGGUGGGGUAAGUCGGAUGUGAAAGCUCGGAGCUCAACUCCGAAAUGGCAUUGGAAACUACCCUGCUAGAGGAUUGGAGGGGGGACUGGAAUACUUGGUGUAGCGGUGGAAUGCGCAGAUAUCAGGAGGAACACCGAUGGCGAAGGCAGGUCUCUGGGCCACUACUGACGCUGAGAAGCGAAAGCAUGGGGAGCGAACAGG
rnacentral:rRNA from 1 species